AAGAAGAAUGCUGACUGGAGCUAUAUUGUAGAUGUGGGAAAGAUGAGAAGCAAUGAUAGAUUUUCAUGACAUGUCCUUUAGAUGGAGUUUAAGAGACCCUUUUUGUUCAAGCUUUUUUCUUAUUCAUUGUUUUAGCGGUGUCUUACACUUCAUUUAUAUGUAUUAAUGUAUGUAUUGAGCACCAAAAACAUGAUUUGUAUGUUGAACUUGAUUUAUUCUUUUCCUAUGUAAUUUGUUAUUUUUAUACUACGUGUGAAGUGAACAAUGCUUACACUGUUUGAUUCUUUUUAUUUAGUAUAAACAAUAUAUUUAAGUAGUGGAUAUUAAUGUAUUAGGUGAUCACUUAUUUGGGACUACCAUG
rnacentral:lncRNA from 1 species